UCGAGGCGUAGCGCGGUCCGGUAGCGCACUGUGUUCGGGGCGCAGGGGUCGGAGGUUCGAAGCCUCUCCCUCGAC
rnacentral:tRNA from 1 species